AACGCUAGCUACAGGCUUAACACAUGCAAGUCGAGGGGCAGUAUUGGAGUAGCAAUACUUCAGAUGGCGACCGGCGCACGGGUGAGUAACACGUAUCCAACCUGCCGCUUACUCGGGGAUAGCCUUUCGAAAGAAAGAUUAAUACCCGAUGGUAUAAAGAGUUCGCAUGUUCUCUUUAUUAAAGAAUUUCGGUAAGCGAUGGGGAUGCGUUCCAUUAGAUAGUUGGCGGGGUAAUGGCCCACCAAGUCUACGAUGGAUAGGGGUUCUGAGAGGAAGGUCCCCCACAUUGGAACUGAGACACGGUCCAAACUCCUACGGGAGGCAGCAGUGAGGAAUAUUGGUCAAUGGACGAGAGUCUGAACCAGCCAAGUAGCGUGAAGGAUGACUGCCCUAUGGGUUGUAAACUUCUUUUAUAAGGGAAUAAAGUGAGGGACGUGUCCCUUUUUGUAUGUACCUUAUGAAUAAGGAUCGGCUAACUCCGUGCCAGCAGCCGCGGUAAUACGGAGGAUCCAAGCGUUAUCCGGAUUUAUUGGGUUUAAAGGGAGCGUAGGUUGACAUAUAAGUCAGCUGUGAAAGUUUACGGCUCAACCGUGAAAUUGCAGUUGAUACUGUAUGUCUUGAGUGUACAAGAGGUGGGCGGAAUUCGUGGUGUAGCGGUGAAAUGCUUAGAUAUCACGAAGAACUCCGAUUG
rnacentral:rRNA from 1 species